rnacentral:rRNA from 1 species
AUUGAACGCUGGCGGCAUGGCUUACACAUGCAAGUCGAACGGCAGCACGGGUGCUUGCACCUGGUGGCGAGUGGUGAACGGGUGAGUAAUACAUCGGAACGUACCUUAUCGUGGGGGAUAACGCAGCGAAAGCUGUGCUAAUACCGCAUACGCCCUGAGGGGGAAAGCGGGGGAUCGCAAGACCUCGCGCGAUUAGAGCGGCCGAUGCCUGAUUAGCUUGUUGGUGGGGUAAAAGCCCACCAAGGCGACGAUCAGUAGCUGGUCUGAGAGGACGAUCAGCCACACUGGGACUGAGACACGGCCCAGACUCCUACGGGAGGAAGCAGUGGGGAAUUUUGGACAAUGGGGGCAACCCUGAUCCAGCAAUGCCGCGUGAGUGAAGAAGGCCUUCGGGUUGUAAAGCUCUUUUGUCAGGGAAGAAACACCGGCUCUAACACAGUCCGGGAAUGACGGUACCUGAAGAAUAAGCACCGGCUAACUACGUGCCAGCCGCCGCGGUAA